CUCCUACGGGAGGCAGCAGUUGGGAAUCUUGCACAAUGGGGGAAACCCUGAUGCAGCGACGCCGCGUGGACGAUGAAGGCCUUAGGGUUGUAAAGUCCUUUUUUCAGGAAAGACUUAGGACGGUACCUGAAGAAUAAGCUCCGGCUAACUACGUGCCAGCAGCCGCGGUAAGACGUAGGGAGCAAGCGUUGUCCGGAUUUACUGGGCGUAAAGAGCUCGUAGGCGGCUCGUUAAGUGUGAAGUGAAAUCUCCAGUGCUCAACACGGAAACUGCUUUACAUACUGGCGAGCUUGAGGAAAGCAGAGGUAACUGGAAUUCCUGGUGUAGCGGUGAAAUGCGUUGAUAUCAGGAGGAACACCCAUGGCGAAGGCAGGUUACUGGGCUUUAUCUGACGCUGAGGAGCGAAAGCGUGGGUAGCAAACAGGAUUAGAUACCCUGGUAGUCCACGCCCUAAACUAUGGAUACUAGUCGUGAGAGGUAUCGACCCCUCUCGUGACCGUAGCUAACGCGUUAA
rnacentral:rRNA from 1 species